UUGGAUAUGACAAAAAGGAAAUCAAUAGAAUGGGUGUUGGAGGAAUAUUUCUUGGCAAAUAGCUCAGGGCCUCUUUCGUUAAAUUGUUAUGGAGCAGGUCAGUGGGCGCUAUUCCUUUUUGAAUGUCCCUGAAGCCGAGGAGGCUCUGGAGCGGUCGAGCUUCAGUGGUCACGUAGCGGAAUCGGACGAUCAGUCCGUUGAAUUAGACGUUUCCUUUUGAUGUUUAUGACUUUUUAGGUUAAUUGGCUAUACACCCUUUUGAUGUUUGUUCUCUUAACCCCGUGAUUCAAAAUCUGAAAUUGUAUACAUGUACGCAGCUCGAUGCGAUAUUGAUUGAUUGAUUGAUUGGUGUUUUUGACGUUGGGGGGACCACUGAUUGUGCUGUAUAGGCAUGUGAGUCGCAAGUUCAGCAAUCAAUAUAAGGCGACUAUCGAAGCUGAUUUCUUGACGAAGGAAGUUCAGUUUGAGGACAGGUUGUUCACAUUGCAGAAAAGGGAGAAGUGAUUAGUGAACAUUACAAGCUCCUUCCAGUUGACUUGCGUGACAUACCAAAGUUGGACGACAUUAUAUCAUUGGCUAAUAUUGAUCCAAGCUUGCCGACCUUUAUAAUUGCAGAAUGUGUCUUGAUAUACUUGGAUCUAGAUUCAAGCCCGGCUAUUGUUGGUUGGACUUCAAAAACAUUUUCAACAGCAGUUUUCUUCUUAUAUGAGCAGAUCCAUCCAGAUGAUGAUUUUGGGCUGCAAAUGAUCAGAAAUUUAG